GGAUGUGCGGGCAAUCUGGCUGUGACAUAUGUCACCCCACUGAUUGCCAGGACUGAUUCAGCUGAUCUGGUGGGUGACCCUUUCCUCCCUCAUGGAUCCAUGUGCAUCCCUCCCGAAGCUGUGUACCCGGUCAAAGAGGACAACCAUUCCCGCUAGAGGAGGACUGUUCUUUGGAUGGGGGUAUACGAGGAGUUGUGCUCCCCUGCUAAAACCUCCAAACAAGCUCUCCAGAUCCACUUAGAACAGUACUGGAGAGCAUUGACUGUCCCUAAAAGAUGGUUUCAACUUCAACUGCCUUGUCU
rnacentral:snRNA from 1 species